AGGGUUAUAGUUAAGUAUAACAUUUGGGUUGCAUUCAAAAAGUAUUGAUUAAUCAAUUAACCUUA
rnacentral:tRNA from 1 species